UUUAUUAAUUUACUUAUUCAUUUUUAAAAUGUCACUAGAACAUAAACUCCAUGGAGAUGGAAGUUUCUGAUCAAAACUAAAUUUUUGUUGCAUGAGUGGAUACAUUUCAAAUUUCCUCCUGGCUUCACUGUGGAGAAUGGCAAUGUGCAGGGUGACAGAAUUCGAAGGGAGAGACCAAUUAGUAGGCUGCUGCAAUUACCUAGGCAAGAGAUUGUGGUGGAAGUGGGCAUAAAUAGCUGAAUUUGUGAUCUACCUUAAAGGUAAACGGAAGACUUGCUAAUUAUCAACCUUAAGUUGCUAGAUGCUGCCUAAUUGUUUGAUUGAUAAACUAUUGUAACGUGUGGGCGUGAAAAUUACUUUCUGACAGGCUGAUCACAGCUCCUGGGCCCUAUAAAUUCUCAGUUUUUCACAAAUAAUCUGCCGGGUGCAGUUAGGGGAAAUCCAAGAGGACCCAAGGGAAUAGAUAUUUUGGAGGUGGGGAUAGGAAAGGUGUUCCAGUAAGAAUUUGCUGCAUAAUAAAUCAGCCUAAGGCUUAGUAACUUAACAAAACAAGGAUUUAUUAUUUUUCACGAUUUUAUGGGUUGACUUGGGCAGUUUCUCUGCUGGUUUUGCCUGGGCUCACUCAUGUGACUUAAUUCAGCCAGAGGCUCACCUGGGCUAGAAGGUCAUCUCAGGAUGGCCUCUCUGACAGUCUGGCAGCUGGUGCUGGCGGUCAAGUUGGGGAUCUCACUUCUCCUCCAUGUGGCCUCCCCUAUUCCAGCAGGCUAGCAGCUUCCUCGCAUGGUGGCCCCAGGGCAGCAGUUCCAGAGGGCGAAAGUGGAAGCUGCAAGGGCUGGCUUUGGAAGUCACACAUUGUUACUUCUGCUAAAUUCUGUUGAUCAAAGCAAGUUAGAGGCUAGCCCGGAUUCAAGGGAUAAGGGAAAUAGAUUUCAAUUCUUGAUGGGAGUAGUAGCUAAAUCAUUGCCAGGGGGCGUGCUUACCAAGGUAGGAAGAAUUUGUGGCCAUAUUUUGCAAUUCUCAACAGAAAGAAACCAACAUUUAUUGAGUGUUAACUGUGUUCCGGACACCUUAGGUAUAACCCAUACUUGAUUCUGCUUAAUUCUCACAGCAAUCCUGUGAGGAUGGCCACUGAAGAAAUGGAGGCCCUGGGAAAAUAAACAGCCUCUCCAAGGACCCAGGACCAGCAAGGGGAAGGUGCCCAGUUCUGCUCCAGGCAGAGGUUGCCAAUUAGUGAAAGCAUAUUCGGACGGCAGGUUUCUCGUCUUGUGCUGGCCGCUUACCUUGGUAUGGCCUGUGACAGUCUCCAAGACACUUUCACUCGCACGGUCCCACGAGAACCUUGCAAGGUUCCUGCAAGGGAGGCAUGAGAACCAAACGGACCCAGAGAGGAUGAGUAAGCAGCAUGGCCAGCACUUGCACAGGUGUCUUUUCCAGUCACUCCUCUUUGUGGGGACCCUUGAUGCCAGCGAUAUACUACAUGACCCAGGCUCUCUCCCAUCCAUUUAGAGCAAAGACCUCUGCAUGGGGUUUUCAGAUGUAGGCAGGUCUCUCCCCCGUGGCCCAGCUUUUGGUGAAUAUCCUCGAACGUGUCUAAAACUCAUCUCAACAUUCCCCCCUGACCCCAGCUGCUCUUCUCGCCCCAUUCCUGAGUUCUGUGAGUUGCCCAGCCAGAAACCAGGGUGCCAGGCUUGACUCCUCCCUCACCCCUGCCCAAAAGCCCACGAACGGUGCCUCCUAGCAGCUCUAGAAUUGAUCCCCCUGCCUGUACUCUAGUUCAAGCCACUGUUAUAUCUUCUCCAGACAACUGCAGUAGCGUCCUAAUGGAUGUAGUGACCUGAAUGGUGGCCCUCAAAUCUCAGGCCCCCAUCCUUGGAACCUGUAAUGUUACCUUAUAUGGGAAAGUUCUUGCAGAUGUGAUUAAGGACUUAAAAAAAUUAAAUUGGGGUAAAAUACACAAUAUAAUAUUUACCAUUUUAGUCAUUUUUAAGUGUACAGUUCAGUGGCAUUGAAUGCAUUCAUGUCAUUGUGCAACCAUCAGCACCAUCCAUCUCCAGAACUCUUCAUUUUGCAAGCCUGAAAUUCUGUACCCUUUAAACUUCCCAUUUGUCCCCAAUCCCUGCUCCAAAGCCCAGUGACCACCAUUCUGCUUUCUAUCUCUAUGAAUUUGGCUACUCUAGGGACCUCAUAUAAGUGGAA